UGAUAAUGUAAUUGAUGAUGCAGGUGGGAGGCCGUACUCAACUCCAGAGGUGAGGCUUGGAUGCUGGACCAAAUUGAGGACUAGCUAAACCAGGAAGGAGGCAGAAGCAGCUUUCCAGAAGCCACGCCCACCAGGGUGCCAUGGCAGUUCACCAUCACCAUAGCAACACCGAGAAGUUACUGCCCUUUUCCAUGGCAAUGACCCAAAGGCCCAGAAGUUACCACCUUUUCCUCGAAAUUUCUGCAUAAACCACCUCUAAAUCUGUAUGCAACUGAAAAUAGGUAUAAAUAUGCCUGCAGAACUGCACUGAACUGCUACUCUCCGCCUCCGGUGUGACCUGCUCUACAGGAGCAGUCACGGAGACGUCACACUGCAGCUUCAAUGCACUGUUUUCUUCUGCCACCAGCUCACCCUUCAGUGUUUUUCCUGGGCGAAGCCAAGCACUGCUGGGGGCUACGCUCCUCUUCAUGAUGCCCUUUAGGGUCCCACUGGUGAUGCUCUGAAUGGUAAUCACAAGGGUUCUCAUAAGAGGAACGCAGGUUGGUGAAAGGGAGAGAACGGAUUGAGGGGAUGUGACCAGGGAGGAAGGAGAAGGGUAUGUGAAGACAGACAGCAGGAAAGAGGCAUUGGAAGAUGCCACGCUGGGCCUAGCAGAUUUGGGAGCCACAAGCCAAGGAGAGCAGGCAGCCCUAGACAUUGAAAAAGGCAAGGAAGGGGAUUCCUCACAGAUCCCCCAGGAGGAUCACAGCCCUGCCGACGGCUGGAGUAGGACUUCUGACCUCCAGGACCAUCAGAUAAUGGAUUUGUGUUUUUAAAGGCCGUAAGUGCGUGGUGAUUUGCUACAGCCACAGCAGGAAACAGAGUCAUGCCUAAGACGCUUUCUUCCCUUCAGUGAGACUAAUGGCUCCCUCCAACCCCUCCAGACCUGGUUUUAUUUGUGACUUUCAUCUGAACUGACCUCUUAAACACAAGGAGCAAAUGUUAUCUCUGAUCUAUUCAGUUAAAAUGUAACUUGCACUCUAUUGCCUCUUCUCUUCAACUGUGCUCGAAUACUCCUGAGUCUGGCUGUGCUGCCGAAGCCAUUUCCCCGGGGAGAAAGCAGUCUCUUCCGACCGCCCGAACAGAGUGGGAAUGGAAGAUGCAUUCUCCACCAGGGAUGAAUCGGAAAACUGACAGCCCCAAGAUAAGAGAAAGGAGAUCCAAAGCAUUUACAACUGCAGACGUGCUCUUCGCAUGUAGUGGUGAAUAGGGCUGAUUUGCAUUUAGAUUCCUGGGUAAGUUAAAUCGCAGCAUUUCAGGGCAUUCCAGGCAUUCAGUCCUACUUUCAGCAGCGUUAUUAAUAACCUACGACGCCUCACGAGGUCGACACACGAUUAGCUUCCCAGAGUCCCUUCUCACCUGGGGGAGAAGCUCGAGAGUCCCUGCCUUAGAGCGCAUCGUUCCUGCUCUUCCUUCAGCUGCCGUUUCAGUAUAUUUUUUGGCAACCUGAAGGUUCUGAGAGGGAGUUGGUGCUGAAGUUUCUGGAGGCUUCCAUGGUUGUCACGGAAACCUCAGGUUAGGCUUCUCCCAGU
ensembl:lncRNA